rnacentral:lncRNA from 1 species
UUUGUACAAGGCUUAGGCUUUAUAAAAACAAAAUAAAACCUCAUAUCAAAUCCUCGUCUAGAGAGCAUUUUCGACAAGAGAAAUCUCCAUGAUAAUUCUAAAACCAAUUUUAACUACUGAUAAUAAAAUUUAAACUAAAAAAAUAUAAAAAUAUUGCUGAUAUGUGAAUACUUAUUUUUAAAAGCAAAAUGGACGGUCUAGAUAAGUUGUUACAAUAGACAUUAUUUUUUUUGAAAUCUUAAGUUUUUUUAUCAUAUGUAAAAGUUUUCCAAAUACUUAGAAUUACAAUUUUCGAUGAAUUAUGAGGUGAGACUUUACUUAUUUUGAUUGGGUUGCAGCC